rnacentral:rRNA from 1 species
GCCAGUAGCAUACCACCCUGCAUACCGCUGCUGGCUUGCCUCUGAAGCUAAGCAGGGUUGGUCCUGGAUGGGAAACCAGAUGCUGCUGGAA